rnacentral:rRNA from 1 species
GGGGGAUAACGUAGGGAAACUUACGCUAAUACCGCAUACGACCUACGGGUGAAAGUGGGGGACCGCAAGGCCUCACGCAGAAAGAUGAGCCGACGACCGAUUAGCUAGUUGGUAGGGUAAAGGCCUACCAAGGCGACGAUCGGUAGCUGGUCUGAGAGGAUGAUCAGCCACACUGGGACUGAGACACGGCCCAGACUCCUACGGGAGGCAGCAGUGGGGAAUUUUGGACAAUGGGCGCAAGCCUGAUCCAGCAAUGCCGCGUGCAGGAUGAAGGCCUUCGGGUUGUAAACUGCUUUUGUACGGAACGAAACGGUGAGCUCUAAUACCAGUUUGCUAAUGACGGUACCGUAAGAAUAAGCACCGGCUAACUACGUG